GUGCCAGCAGCCGCGGUAAUACGUAGGUGGCAAGCGUUGUCCGGAAUUAUUGGGCGUAAAGCGCUCGCAGGCGGUUUCUUAAGUCUGAUGUGGAAGCCCACGGCUCAACCGGGGAGGGUCAUUGGAAACUGGGAGACUUGAGUGCAGAAGAGGAAAGUGGAAUUCCAUGUGUAGCGGUGAAAUGCGUAGAGACAUGGAGGAACACCAGUGGCGAAGGCGACUUUCUGGUCUGUAACUGACGCUGAGGAGCGAA
rnacentral:rRNA from 1 species